ensembl:snRNA U6 U6 spliceosomal RNA
AUGCUUGCUUCGGCAGCACAUUUACUAAAAUUGGAACCAUACAGAGAUUAGCGUGACUCCUGCACAAGGAUGACAUGCAAAUUCGUGAAGUGUUCCAUAUUUUU